rfam:Hordeum vulgare subsp. vulgare, WGS project CAJW01000000 data, contig: morex_contig_45920
AAACUACUCCCUCCGUCCCAAAAUAAGUGACUCAAAAAUGACUUAACUAGUGCAAAGUUAAGUCAUUUUUGAGUCACUUAUUUUGGGACGGAGGGAGUACAUG